CCAUGUCACUUCCUGUCUCUCUAGUUUCUACUUCCUUUCACUGUGGGCUGAUCUGUCACAUCUCAGGAACCAAUCAUAGUUUCUGAAUUUGCCUGGCACUGCCCAGAGAGCAGUGCCUGUGGGGUCUACUUCCUGUUUCUUGAGGGUGAGAGCUUUCUUUUAAAAGGAUCUUCAAAUGCCUGAUUAAGUGUGAAAGGAGGGGUACUCCAAGUUCUUGACUGAUUAAGUUAAAAUAAAUAAAGGGAGUUUUAAAUUCCCUUUCACAGUCUAACUAUAUCAAGAAUGUUUUGCUUACUUCUGGAAUCCACAGAAAGACGCUUAUAAUCUGAUACAGAAGAGAACAAUCAGUAUGAUGAAGAACCUUGAGUUCAUGACAUAUGAAGACUUGUUAAAAUAGCUGGGAAUGGGAGCAGCUCAGUAGAGAGAGAGCCAAGCCUGGAGAUGAGAGGUCCUGGAUUCAAAUCUGGCCUCAGACAUUUGCUAGCCUUGUGACACUAGACAAGUGAAUUAACUUCUAUUGCCUAGCCCUUACUGCUCUUCUGCCUUGGAACCAAUACACAGUAUUGAUUCUAAAAUGGAAGGUACAUUACUGUUCUUUGGACUGGACACCAUGGAACCAAACAGGUUAACAGGAAACUGAAAUAGAAGACAAAAAUAAGAAGCUGAUGCGGGAUGGCCAAUUCCACACCUGAGGGUCAACAACUGUGCGUCCACAGAGGUUGCCCAUCCAAGAGCACUCAGUGUAAUACUGAGGCAAGACUCCCCACAAAUCAGAACGUCUUCUAGUAUCAGAAGGGGAAGCCAACAGAUAGACCCCAAACUCCAUCGGCCAGACUGAUCUGGGGCUGAUGAGAGAGAGAGCACGAAAGAGGUCCCACAAAGAUAUCACCCAAAAGAUGGGGCUUUCAGGAGUCAAAGAAAAGGCUCCUUCCUACCUGAGAAGCUGUGUCCUCGUGGACGAUCCAGAGUAGAGGAGUUGCUUUCAGGAGAGCCAAAAAGGUUGGGCAAAUUAUUAUGGGGGUCGAUGUGUACCCCUGGGGUUUCCCUUUUUCUUCUGGGUGUCAAAAUAUUAUGGGUGGGAAGGAUACCCUUGGAUUUCUGGAAGGAUACCUUUUGCAAGAAUGCAAGACUCCGACUCUUCCGGUCAAGAUGGCGGUGUAGAAGCAGCGAAAGUUCAGACCUCCGAAACCCUUCCCUACCGAUCGCAAACAAAGUGCUCCUAGGCCACCGAAAUUCAAGCUGAACAACAGGAUAGACCUGGGGAAACCUCCUCCUGGACCUGGAUCAAAAGGUACCGCACCCCAAAAGCCAGAACCCUAGAUCACUCAGAUCUAAGGGGUAGACAGAAAGAAGGUCCCAGGACCCAUCCCCCCCAACCCAGAGUGCUGAGCCCAAGGCAGCAGCGGGAACCUCAGGGCUCUGAGGAUUCACCUUGAAAGCAACCCGAGCCAGUCUCCGGAGUGCCCAACACAGACGGCAGGGAAGCAUAGAAAGAAGGGGGAAGCCUGUGGCCUCCUGGCUGGGUUCUUCCCUCUGGGUCUCGGGGGAGGUCCCAGCUUCGGGGCACCAGCUGAGCCCAAUCCCAUCGGGAGCCCUCAGAGCUACUGAAAGGACAGAGGGCUCAGGGCUGGCAAGGGGGGUGCUCCGGGGAGCUUGCCUUGAAAGUAACCCGGGCCAGUUUCCGGGCACUCAACACAGACUGAGGAAGAGGAGGUUGCUGCUCUUCUCUUUCUUCUUUUUUGGCUCCGGGAUCAUUCGGCCCACACUACCUGAACCUAAUCCCAUCAGGAGCCAUCAGAGUCCAGGCAAGCCACUACCCCUCCCCCCUUAGAGAGCAGGGUCUUCUGAAAGAACCAGUUGAACCUAAUCCCAUCAGGAGCCCUUAGAGCUGCUGAGAGGACGGAGAACUCAGGGCUGGCAAGGGGGGUGCUCCGGGGAGCUUGCCUUGAAAGUAACUCGGCCAGUCUCUGGGCACUCAACACAGACUGUGGAAGAGGAGGUGGCUGCUUUGUGUUUUUUUUUCCCUUCCCUUUUUUGGCUCUGGGAUCUUUCGGCCCACACCACCUGAACCUAAUCUCAUCAGGAGCCCUCAGAGUCCAGGCAAGCCACAACCCCUCCCCCCUUAGAGAGCUGGGUCUUCUGAAAAAACAGAAACCUAGAGACGAAGUCAAGAUGGCAGCCUAGAAGGAGCAUAGACCUGGCAGCCUGGCCAGAGCUUUAGAGAUCCUCCAUAUCUGCUCCAGCCGUCUAGGAAGUUUAAAACUCAGAAUAAACCCAUCCCAAAUAAGCUGAACUCAAUCCCAUCAAAAGUCUCCAGAACAUAGGGAAGCCCAGGCUCCCCAUCCAUCCUCACUGACUGCUGAACUUUAAGCCAAUCAAAAGCCUCCAGAGGACAGGAAAGCUCAAACCCCCAACAACCCUCCCUCAGAGAUUACACCAAGAGAUCCUCUGUUAAAGCUCCAAGAGGGGAGACUGAUAGAAGUCCCUAAAAAACAAAAAAAUGAGAGGAACAAGAGCACAGACAAAUACAGGGAGGAAAGAAGGGGUGAAUUUGAACAAACAACAGAAACAGAAGAAAGAAACUACAAUAGACAGCUACUACUCACCAAAUGGAACAGAGGGGGAGAGAUCAGCAAACGAUAAACCAGAAAUCCCAGCGAAUUGGAUACAGGCUGUGGAAGAACUCAAAACACAGCUAAGAGAGGCUGAAGACAAUUGGGAAAAGAACUUAAAAAUUAAGAUAAGUCAUCUGGAAACAGAGGCACUUGAACUAAAACAAGAAAAUAGUGUCCUGAAAGCCAAAAUCAUCCAGCUGGAAAAUGAGGCAAAGGAGAUGAAAGAUGAAGCAAAGGAGAUGAAAGACGAGAUAAAGAGGAUGAAAGACAGUCUUCAAAGAAACUCAGACCAGAAGGAAAAAGACGACCAAAAAGCCAAAGAUGAAAUCCAAUCUUUAAGAACCCGAGUAAAACAACUAGAAUCAAGUGACCUCACAAGGCAGCAGGACACUAUAAGACAAAACAAAAAGAAUGAAAAAAUUGAGGAAAAUGUGAAGCAUCUCAUUCACAAAACAGACGAUUUAGAAAAUCGUUCAAGAAGAGACAAUUUAAGAAUAAUUGGACUACCAGAAGACCACGACAAAAGAAAAAGCCUGGUCAUAAUACUAGAGGAAAUUAUCCAGGAAAACUGUCCCGAAAU